AGCGAACGCUGGCGGCGUGCCUAACACAUGCAAGUCGAACGUGAAAGGGAGCAAUCCCAAGUAAAGUGGCGUACGGGUGAGUAACACGUAGGUAAUCUACCCCAGAAUCUGGAAUAACCGGCCGAAAGGCUGGCUAAUACUGGAUAGAGCGACGGAAUCCGUAAUUGGGUUUUUCGGGAAAGGGAGCCUGUAAAAAGGCCUUCGUUCUGGGAUGAGCCUGCGUCCCAUCAGCUAGUUGGUGAGGUAAAAGCUUACCAAGGCAAUGACGGGUAGCUGGUCGGAGAGGACGAUCAGCCACACUGGAACGGAAACACGGUCCAGACUCCUACGGGAGGCAGCAGUGGGGAAUCUUGCGCAAUGGACGAAAGUCUGACGCAGCAACGCCGCGUGAGGGAAGAAGGCCUUCGGGUUGUAAAGCUCUGUCGAGUGGGACGAAAAUGCUUGGAGUUCACAGCUCCAGGAACUGACGGUACCACUAAAGGAAGCACCGGCUAACUCCGUG
rnacentral:rRNA from 1 species